UACAGAGGGUGCAAGCGUUAAUCGGAAUUACUGGGCGUAAAGGGUGCGUAGGUGGUUUCGUAAGUUAGGUGUGAAAGCCCCGGGCUUAACCUGGGAAUUGCGCCUAAUACUGUGGAACUAGAGUACUGUAGAGGAAGGUAGAAUUUCCAGUGUAGCGGUGAAAUGCGUAGAUAUUGGAAGGAAUACCAGUGGCGAAGGCGACCUUCUGGACAGAUACUGACACUGAGGCACGAAAGCGUGGGGAGCAAACAGG
rnacentral:rRNA from 1 species